UCCAGAUCAAUCCUAAUCAAGCAAAUCUAUGAUCCAACCGUGACUGCCAUGUUUUGUUUUCUUCAUAGUGUAUUAAGAACGACGUUAUCCGGCAUUUCUCUUCAGGUUUUUUUCUUUUUUUUUCAUUUCAUCUAGUUUCAGCUCACGAGCUGUGGCCAUGCUGGGGCACCGCCAUAUUAUUUUUUUUAGAAAUAGUGUGUCAUUUGAGGGACAUUUGAUUGUUAUUUCUAAGAGAUCGGUCGUGCGAUCAUAAAGGAGAAACCUCGUUACAGUGAGAGAGUUGAUCUGAGAGAGCAGUGACAAGGGGCUGCGGGGACGGUUAUUGAGAUUGUGAGGCCUUCAUGCUUUUCUCAAGGCCAUUAGAACUGCAAUGUAACUUAGAAAUACUAUUCCUAAUAUUUCGAUAUACUAUAAGGCGGCGAGCUGGCAAAAUCGUUAGCACAACGGGCGAAAUGCGUAGCCGUAUUUCAUCUGCCGUUACGUUUUGAGUUCAAAUUCCGCCGAGGUCGACUUUGUCUUUCAUCCUUUCGGGGUCGAUAAAUUAAGUACCAGUUACGCACUAGGGUCAAUAUAAUCGACUUAAUCCGUUUCUCCCCUCUGUUUAGCCCGUUGUGGGCAAUAAAGAAAUAAGAAAUACUAUUCCGGUUGUCAGCUGAAUAUUUUCAUGCUCAUGUCACCCUUGGAAAAUGCCGCUGCCCCCCACUUUCCAUCCCCUCGUCAACUCCCCCUCUCCUCCCUUCAGUCAAUUUCAGAUUUCAGUUAUGUAGAAGAAACUUUGUGCAGCGCGGUGGUGAGGGUGAGUCGAACGCAGUCCAAUGGAUUACAUUGUUGUUUGUUGUCGUUUAACCCCCACCAAGUCAACCCUGAACGAACUGACUUUUGAUCAAAGGUAUUCCAAAUGUGACCUUCUCUAUUUCCCUAUGUGUAAGGAACCCUAGACCUCUAAUUUUUACCAUGGUCCCAUUGAGAUUUCAAGAUUUUACUCGCUAUUUAUAACAUGUAGAAGGGGAAACUAAACAACAUUGGAGGGUCCCUCGUUGACUCGUCCAAUGGCUGUCUUCUUACAUGCAUAGAGGCAUAACAACAUUUUGGUACCCAGUGGUUCUGACGUUACUCGCAAGAUCGCCAGAUGGCGGUUUCGAUUUCCGGACCGGGUGACACAUUGUAUUCUUGAACACAGCACUUCAUUUCAUGUUGCCCCGGUCCACUCAGAUGUAUUUAAAUGAGUUACCCUGCGACGGACUUGCGUCCCGUUCAGGCGGAUUGCGAGGCACUCAGUUACUUGUACGGGGUUGAAACCAGAUAACGGGCCCUAAGAGUCCUAUGACUCAAGACAGUAAUAUCCAGUGUUUCAUCCUGAUUGGACUGUGACCCGCUGGAGCACUGCAUUGAAGCGUUUACUCGAACAAAUCGAUCCCAGUAUUUUUUAAAGCUUGGUACUUAGUAGUUCGGUCUCUUUUACCGAGUUACUAAGUUACGGGUUCGUAAAGAAACUAACACUGGAUGUCAAGCGGUGGACGGACACACACACGCACACGCCCGCGUAGAUGUAUACGACGAGCGCAUUUCAGUUUCUAUCUACCAAAUCCACUCACAAGACUUUGGUUGGUCCGGCGCUAUGGUAGAACACACUUAGCUUAGUUGGGGGCCUAAACCGGGACCACGUAUUUGAGAAGCAAAUUUCUUACCAUACAACCAUGAACAUUUUCCAUGAACUUUCUCUCGCUCUUUCCUCCUGCAUUUUGCAGCUCACCUGUGACGGACCGGCGUCCCGUCUAGGUGGGGAAUCUAUACGCCAAGGAAACCGGGAAACCGGCCCUUAUGAGCUAGACAUGGCUCGAUAAGGAUCAAGCUUAUUCUAUCGGUGUCUUUUGCUGAAGUGCUACGUUACGGGGACGUAAACACACCACCAUUGGUUUGUGAAGCACUAGUGGGGGCAAAUAUAGGUACACACAUACACUUACAUACGUCGGGCUUCUUUCAGUUUCCGUCUUCCAAAUCCAAUCACAAAGCUUUAGUCGACCCGGAUCAAUAGUAGAAGAUACCCGCCCGAAGUUCUACGCAGAAGAACUGAACAUGGAACCAUGUAGUUGGAAAGCAAACUGCUUACCACACAGCCGCAACAGCACAUAUGCAUAUUCUUAAAUGUUAUAUUGUGCAGAGAGGUAGGAUUUCAGGAAUGUUGAUUACGUAACGUUGAUGUUUCUGGAAUAAAAAACAAAACAAAAAAAAGUGGGGAUGUUUGAGCUAGAGAAAUUAGCCAUAGCAAAGUUCGGGACGGUGAAAUGAAGAACGAUCCGAAAUUGUGCCAAACAUUUUUUCCUCCAAAUUUCAUGAUCUACGGCUUCUGUUUUUUACACUUUUUACUCUUUUACUUGUUUCAGUCAUUUGACUGCGGCCAUGCUGGACCACCGCCUUUAGUUGAGCAAAUCGACCCAGGACUUAUUCUUUGUAAGCCUAGUACUUAUUCUAUCGGUCUCUUUUGCCGAACCGCUAAGUUACGGAGACGUAAACACACCAGCAUCGGUUGUCAAGUGAUGUUGGGGAGACAAACACAGACACACACACACAUAUAUACAUAUACAUAUAUACGACGGGCUUCUUUCAGUUUCCGUCUACCAAAUCCACUCGCAAGGCUUUGGUCGGCCCGAGGUUGUAGUAGAAGACACUUGCCCAAGGUGCCACGCAGUGGGACUGAACCCGGAACCAUGUGCUUGGUAAGCAACCUACUUACCACACGGCCACACCUGCGAAAUUUUCUUUAAAAAUAUAUACGUUUCUUUAGAAAAUUACGAGGAAGUAAAUUUGGAAUGGUAACAAGCUAAAAUUAAAAGAAAAAGAAACAGUAAAUAUGUCUAUUUAAUUUCGAUUAAUUCCCAGUCCAGGUAUCGUGUGAUCGAAAUAAAAGUGAUCUUGUGUUCCAAGCCCGAAGUUUGUGUUUGUGUAUUGAUACAUAUUGCAUCUGUAUGUGUGUAGCUAGGUCCAUGCGCCUUUGUUUAUUGCUUGCGCGUUUAAGUCUGUAUUGUGUCUUUAUGUUCGUUUUUCUGUGUAUUUGUGAUGUACCGGGCGGUUUUAUCAGGGGCUUUAUGUUGGAGUCGUUCCUGCUGCAUCGCUUUGUUGCUGUUGCUGUUGUCAUUAUUAUGGCUGUUAAGGUGGCCGGCUGACAGAAUCGUUAGCAUGCCGGGCGAAAUGCUUAGCGGUAUUUCGUCUGCCGCUACGUUCUGAGUUCAAAUUCCGCCGAGGUCGACUUUGCCUUUCAUCCUUUUGGAGUCGAUUAAAUAAGUACCUGUUGCGCACUGGGGUCGAUGUAAUCGACUUAAUCCGUUUGUCUGUCCUCGUUUGUCCCCUCUGUGUUUAGCCCCUUGUGGGUAGUAAAGAAAUAGGUAUUUCGUCUGCCGCUACAUUCUGAGUUCAAAUUCUGCCGAAGUCGACUUUACCUUCCAUUCUCGCGGGGUCGAUUAAAUAAGUACCAGUUACGCACAGGGGUCGAUAUAAUCGACUUACCCCCCCCCCCCCGCCACAAAUUUCCCCCUUUGUGCCUAUAGUAGAAAGGAUUAUUAUUAUUAUUAUUAUUAUUAUUAUUAUUAGCAUUAUUAAGGCGGCGAGCUGACAGAAACGUUAUCUUGCCGAACAAAAUGUGUUGCGGUAUAUCGUCCGUCUUUACGUUCUAAGUUCAAAUUCCGCCCAGGUCAUCUUUGCCUUUCAUCCUUUCGUGGUCGCUAAUUUAAGUACCAAUUGACUUACCCCUCCCUCACAAUUGCUGGCCUUGUGCCAAAAUGUGAAAUCAUUAUUAUAAUUGUUGCUAAAGCGGCGAGCUGGCAGAAUCGUUAGCAUUCUGGGCAAAAUGCUUAGCGGCAUUUCGUCUGUCUCUAUGUUCUGAGCUCGAAUUCAACAGAGGUCGAUUUUCACUUUCAUCCUUUCAGGUUCGAUAAAAUAAGUACCAGCUGAACACAGGGGUCGAUGUAAUCGACUUACCCCGAAAUUUGCUGGCCCUGUGUCAAAGCCGACUUUGCCUCUGGUCCUUUCGAGGUCAAUAAAUUAAGUACCAGUAAAAUACUGGAAUCGAUGUAAUCGCCCAGUCACUCCGCCCCCGCCCCUCAAAAUUUGAGGCCUUUUGCCUCCAGUAGAAAAGAUUAUUAUGAUUGUUGUUUAAACGGUGAGCUGGUAGAUUCGUUAGCAUGCUGGACGUAAUGCUUAGCGGCAUUUCGCUCAUCGCUACGUUCUAAGUUCAAAUUCCGCCGAGGUUAACAUUCCCUUUCAUCUUUUCGGGGUCGAUAAAUUAAGUACCAGUGAAACUGGAGUCAAUGCAAUCAACUAGUCCCUUCCUUCCAAAUUUCAGGCCUUGUGCCUUUAGCUGAAAGGAUUAUUAUUAUUAUUGCCGUUGCUUUCUUUUUCCCUUUUCUUUUAUCGUUUGGUUAUUAGAAUUAUUUUAGCACCGGACAAAAUGCUUAGCGGCAUUUCUUCUGACUUUACGUUCUAGAUCAAAAUUCUGCCGAGGUCAACUUUAUCUUCCAUCCUUUCUGGGUCGAUACGUUCAGUACCAGUGGAGUACUGGGGGCCAAUGUAAUCGAUUUAUUCCUUCCACAAAACUUUCACACCUUCUUAUUGUAGAAAGUGUGUGUGUGUGUAUUAUACACACGCGAACACACAUUUUCUACAGGCAGUCUAGAAGUGUAUAUAUAUUUAUGGGAAAAAAAGUCACGAUAGAAAAUGCUAAAAUAAUUUUAUAAAAAACAUUUCAGUACUAGUUUCAAUCAUUGAAACUUUUUCAACUGUAUGGAAAACAAUUUUUUUAAAAGAAUGUUUUUAAAAAGAAUAUUUGUAUAGUGUUCAAAUACAAGUGGCAUUUUCCUUGUUUCUGCCUGUUUCUCCCUCUUGUUUACUCUUGUGGGUUCUUGUGUGUGUGUUUGUGUAUAUAUGUUCUUGUGUAUAUAUAUAUAUAUAUAUAUAUAUAUAUAUAUAUAUACACACACAUACAAGAGGUGUAUGAAAAGUUUUGAGCCUUCAAGGCCUUUGAAUCUUGAAGUCUUGUAUCUUCAUCAGAAUUCUUGUACCAUGUUUUGUUUUUUUGAGGCUCAAGUCUUUUCAUAGACAAACACGCGUACACACAUGUAAUACCGAUUUUCCGAACAAUAAUGCCCCAGAGCAUCUUAUAGUCCGCACUGUUGGCCUAGUUAACUACAAUUUCUGAUAUAACUCAUUCUGCCUACUUUGUGUGUGUGUUUGUUUGAGAGAGAGAGCGUGUACAUGCGUGCGUGUGCGCAGGGUUGUAAAAGUGUGAAUGCUUCGACGGUGUACUGUUUGUUACAAACUGAUCAUCGCCAUGAAAAUGUUACUAUGAGCUGUGAUUGUUUGCUUCUAAAUGGAACGUUUUCACUGGAAGCCAAAGCACUUGCUGGCUCUGAUAUAGAAACAUCAACCUCUGUGUGUGUGUGUCUGAGUAAUUUUAAAAGUAUAAUGGUUUUAGCUGUUUAUUAAUUCUUAUACGCUGGAUAUGUUAUGGAAUUGGUAUCGAAGCUAUGGAGUAGUUGUGAUUUUGCACUUUAGUAAUAUCCUUUCUAGCAUGAGCACAAGGCUUGAAACUUUAGAGUAGGGGUGCAAAUUGAUUACAUCGAACCCAAUGCUCUAUUAGUACAUAUUUUAUUGACCCUGAAGGGAUGAAAGUCAUUAUCGACCUCGGCGGAAUUUGAACUCAUACCGUAAAGACAGACGAAAUGCCGCUAAACAAUAUGUCGGGCGUGCUAACGAUUCUGCCAGCUCGCCACCUUAUAGAAUGGUAUUACAGGUUUUAAACUUCGGCACCCCAGUGUUCAACUGGUUCUUAUUUCAUCAAAUCCAGAAGGACGAAAUUUGAACUCAGACCAUAAAAACGGACGAAAUUCUGCGAAGCAUUUUGUCCGACGCGCUUACCGAUUCUGCCAGCUCGCCGCCUAAUACAACGGUAAUAUCGAUAUUACAUUACACAUUUCAAGGGUUUUCGAAGAAGUUCAUUUUGCAACUACGUGCUAUGAGGUUCGGUCCUACUGUGCGGCACCGUGGUUAAGUGUCUUCUACCAUAACCCAGGGCUAAAGUAGACUAAUGCUUUGUGAGUGAAUUUGGUAGUCAGAAACUGUAUGGAAUCCCGUCCAGUGUGUGUGUUUAAAUUUGUGUUGCUCUACCGCUUGACAACCAGUGUUGGUUCGUUUACAUCCCUGUGACAAAAGUCGUAUCAAACGUAAAAAAAAAAGAAAAAACUUAAAAGCUGUGUCCCGCCCUGGCCGCUGUCCAGUGACUGAAGCUUGUAAUUUUUUUAUUUAUGCGCCCUUUUCAAGCCUAGCCAGGCUCAUGGGCCCGGUUUCCCAGUUUCUAUGGCGUAUGUGUUCCCCACCCCCAGCUGGAUGGGACGCCAGUCCAUCGCAGCGUUACUCAUGAAACAGGAAGAAAGAGUGAUAGAAAGUUGGGGCGAAAGAGUACAACAGGGGUCGCCAGCACCCCCUGCCGGAGCCUCGUGGAGCUUUAGGUGUUUUCGCUCAAUAAACACACACAACGCUCGGUCUGGGAAUCGAAACCGCGAUCCUCCGACCGCGAGUCCGCUGCCCUAGCUACUGGGCCAUUGCGCCUCCGAAGCUUGUAAUAGAUAUAAAAUAUUUAUCAGUCUUGAUUAUAGAUGAUAUAGACACCUCAUCGAUUUUCCACCUGUUAGCAUCAUCUUUUAAUCAGCCAUAAUGUAUUUAGAACAACGUUAUCUUUUAUAUUUUUUAAAUAGCAUGUGGUUUGAUGGAAAUUUGACUGCUAUUUCUUGCAGGCUCUGUGACUGACCAUGUAGUGAUCCUCUUACUUCAGAGGUAUUUACUGAAAUGAUGUAUGCAUAAUGGGCACUUCCAAAAAUUAUGAAGGGACAAUGUUCUGUUGAAAGUUGUUGAAUAAUUUUAUUUUUACCUUCGUGGCUUAGUGGUUAGGGUACACGUCUCACGAUCGUAAGGUCGCAAGUUCGAUUCCUGGCGGCGCGUUUAUGCCCUUGAGUUUUACACUUUAUUUCACGUUGCUCCAGCUGGCAAAUCUGAGUUGUAUCUAGUGGUUAGUGUGUUGCACUUAUAAUUGCAACAUUGCGGUUUCGAUUCCCUGACUGGACGCUGCGUUGCUCUCAUGACGAAAACACUUCACUUGACGUUAUUCUAGUUCACUCUUCUAUAAACGAGCAAUACCCUGCGAUGGAAUGGUGUUCCUUCCAGGAGUGAUGUUGUGUCUAUAUUUGUCCCCUCCCACACUACCGAUUGACAACUGGUGUUGGUGCGUUUACGUUCAUGUAACUUAGCUGUUCGGCAAAAGUGCUAGGCUUAAGAAAAAAAAAGUCCCAAUUCUUUGACGAAAACCCUCCAGGGCAGUGCUCCAGCAUGGCCUCAGUCAAAUGACUGAAACAAGUAAAACAAUAUGUAAAACAAUAUGUAUCGUUGCUAUUAUGUUAAACUGUCCUAUUUGGCCCAAAAGCAGGUUUACAGUUAUCACGUAGGCACUUUAAA
rnacentral:lncRNA from 1 species